rnacentral:rRNA from 1 species
CCUACGGGUGGCAGCAGUGGGGAAUAUUGGGCAAUGGGCGCAAGCCUGACCCAGCAACGCCGCGUGAAGGAAGAAGGCCCUCGGGUUGUAAACUUCUUUUAUCAGGGACGAAACAAAUGACGGUACCUGAUGAAUAAGCCACGGCUAACUACGUGCCAGCAGCCGCGGUAAUACGUAGGUGGCAAGCGGUAUCCGGAUUUACUGGGUGUAAAGGGCGUGUAGGCGGGAGAGAAAGUCUGACGUGAAAUUCCAGGGCUGAACCCUGGAACUGCGUUGGAAACUGUUCUUCUGGAGUGAGGGAGAGGCAGGCGGAAUUCCGUGUGUAGCGGUGAAAUGCGUAGAUAUACGGAGGAACACCAGUGGCGAAGGCGGCCUGCUGGACAUUAACUGACGCUGAGGCGCGAAAGCGUGGGGAGCAAACAGGAUUAGAUACCCGGGUAGUC